GAUGAACGCUGGCGGCGUGCCUAAUACAUGCAAGUCGAGCGAACAGACGAGGAGCUUGCUCCUCUGACGUUAGCGGCGGACGGGUGAGUAACACGUGGAUAACCUACCUAUAAGACUGGGAUAACUUCGGGAAACCGGAGCUAAUACCGGAUAAUAUAUUGAACCGCAUGGUUCAAUAGUGAAAGACGGUUUUGCUGUCACUUAUAGAUGGAUCCGCGCCGCAUUAGCUAGUUGGUAAGGUAACGGCUUACCAAGGCAACGAUGCGUAGCCGACCUGAGAGGUUGAACGGCCACACUGGGACUGAGAGACGGACCAGACUCCUACGGGAGGCAGCAGUGGGGAAUAUUGCACAAUGGGCGGAAGCCUGAUGCAGCAACGCCGCGUGCGGGAUGACGGCCUUCGGGUUGUAAACCGCUUUCGCCUGUGACGAAGCGUGAGUGACGGUAAUGGGUAAAGAAGCACCGGCUAACUACGUG
rnacentral:rRNA from 1 species